rnacentral:rRNA from 1 species
ACAGAGGGUGCAAGCGUUAAUCGGAGUUACUGGGCGUAAAGGGCGCGUAGGCGGAUAUUUAAGUCGGUUGUGAAAUACCUGGGCUUAACCUGGGAAUUGCAAUCGAUACUGGAUAUCUAGAGUAUGGGAGAGGAAAGUGGAAUUCCCGGUGUAGCGGUAAAAUGCGUAGAUAUCGGGAAGAACACCAGCGCGAAGGCGACUUUCUGGACCAAUACUGACGCUGAGGCGCGAAAGCAUGGGGAGCAAACAG